rnacentral:rRNA from 1 species
AACGUAGGAGACAAACGUUAUCCAGAGUUACUGGGCGUAAAGGGCGUGCAGGUGGUCUGUUAAGUCUGGCGUGAAAGCUCCUGGCUAAACCGGGAGAGGUCGUUGGAUACUGGCGGACUAGAGGACGGUAGAGGCGUGUGGAAUUCCGGGUGUAGUGGUGAAAUGCGCAGAUAUCAGGAGGAACACCAAUUGCGAAGGCAGCUCGCUGGGACGUUACUGACGCUGAGACGCGAAAGCGUGGGGAGCAAACAGG